ACAGGAAGAAGCUUGCUUCUUUGCUGACGAGUGGCGGACGGGUGAGUAAUGUCUGGGAAACUGCCUGAUGGAGGGGGAUAACUACUGGAAACGGUAGCUAAUACCGCAUAACGUCGCAAGACCAAAAAGGGGGACCUUCGGGCCUCUUGCCAUCGGAUGUGCCCAGAUGGGAUUAGCUAGUAGGUGGGGUAACGGCUCACCUAGGCGACGAUCCCUAGCUGGUCUGAGAGGAUGACCAGCCACACUGGAACUGAGACACGGUCCAGACUCCUACGGGAGGCAGCAGUGGGGAAUAUUGCACAAUGGGCGCAAGCCUGAUGCAGCCAUGCCGCGUGUAUGAAGAAGGCCUUCGGGUUGUAAAGUACUUUCAGCGGGGAGGAAGGGAGUAAAGUUAAUACCUUUGCUCAUUGACGUUACCCGCAGAAGAAGCACCGGCUAACUCCGUGCCAGCAGCCGCGGUAAUACGGAGGGUGCAAGCGUUAAUCGGAAUUACUGGGCGUAAAGCGCACGCAGGCGGUUUGUUAAGUCAGAUGUGAGAUCCCCGGGCUCAACCUGGGAACUGCAUCUGAUACUGGCAAGCUUGAGUCUCGUAGAGGGGGGUAGAAUUCCAGGUGUAGCGGUGAAAUGCGUAGAGAUCUGGAGGAAUACCGGUGGCGAAGGCGGCCCCCUGGACGAAGACUGACGCUCAGGUGCGAAAGC
rnacentral:rRNA from 1 species